rnacentral:tRNA from 2 species
GGCUCGGUAGUGUAGACGGUAAAACACUAGUCUAGUAUACAAGAGUUGUGGGUUCGAAUCCCACCUGAGCAC